rnacentral:SRP_RNA from 1 species
GUUCGGGUCUCGCGCAAUGGAAACUCGUGAACCGUGUCAGGAUGGGAACAUAGCAGCACUAAGCGGGAACUUUCAUGUGCCGCGAGGGUGCCUGGCUCUA